GUUUCUGUCCCUAAGUUCAAUGAUACCUCACACAAGACUGUACAUCAUACAGUUCAUUAGCUGUGAAAGGGGGUGUGGCCAAAGCAUAGGGGCCGGGGCAAACCUUUACCAAUAAAAAAGGAGGUCUCUGCUGAGUUCAA